CAGGAUUUCACCAUGUUGACCAGGCUGGUCUCGAACUUCUGAGCUCAAGCAAUCCUCCUGCCUCAGCCUCCCAAAGGGCUAGGAUUACAGGCGUGAGCCACCACGCCUGGCCUGGGAAAGUACUCCCAUGAACAGUGCUCCUUAUCUCAUUAUGUGCUGGCUUAGAAAUUCCAGGGGCUAAUUUUGAAACAAACCAGGCUUGCAGAUCCAGCUAUGAAAUCAGCUUGCUUAGUGGGCUUACAAACAAGGAGACCACCACCAAUAGGCAGAAGUCAAGAUGAUGCCAACUGGACCUCCAGGUGCUUGACUACUCAAGAAAGCCUUUGGAGCAAGACCUGCAGACCUGCACCUUCCUGCACCCCUCCCACCUGUUUCCUGUACCAUGUCUCCCUUCUGAAACCAUCUCACUCAGCCCAGAAAGUUGGACUGGUCUUUUAAAAGCAUGAGUCUGGCCAUUCCCCAAUUGCUAGCUUCCAAUUAAUAAAACUGUUUUCCUUUCGCUGCGCCUUGUUUCUCAUGUUUUCAACCUCUGAAUAGGGAGCAGCUGAACUUGAGCUGGUGACACCAUCGCUGACUUGCUCUGGGCCAUUGGGCAGGUCCUGUUCUCUCCCUGUGCUUCAGCUUCCCCAUCCGUAAUCCAAGGAUGAUAAUUAUAACAGCCUUACAGGCAAGACACAGGUGAUACUCACUAAGGGGUAAUUAAGAUGGUAAUGACUAUGAGGAUGGCAAAGAUGAUGACUGACAACAGUCAGGAUGAU
rnacentral:lncRNA from 1 species